UACGGGGGGAGCAAGCGUUGUUCGGAUUUACUGGGCGUAAAGGGCGCGUAGGCGGUAGCACAAGUCAGUUGUGAAAUCUCCGGGCUUAACUCGGAAAGGUCAACUGAUACUGUGCGACUAGAGUGCAGAAGGGGCAACUGGAAUUCUCGGUGUAGCGGUGAAAUGCGUAGAUAUCGAGAGGAACACCUGCGGCGAAGGCGGGUUGCUGGGCCGACACUGACGCUGAGGCGCGAAAGCUAGGGGAGCGAACGGG
rnacentral:rRNA from 1 species